rnacentral:rRNA from 1 species
GACGAACGCUGGCGGCGUGCCUAAUACAUGCAAGUUGAGCGAUGAAGAUUGGUGCUUGCACCAAUUUGAAGAGCAGCGAACGGGUGAGUAACGCGUGGGGAAUCUGCCUUUGAGCGGGGGGCAACAUUUGGAAACGAAUGCUAAUACCGCAUAACAACUUUAAACAUAAGUUUUAAGUUUGAAAGGUGCAAUUGCAUCACUCAAAGAUGAUCCCGCGUUGUAUUAGCUAGUUGGUGAGGUAAAGGCUCACCAAGGCGAUGAUACAUAGCCGACCUGAGAGGGUGGUCGGCCAGAUUGGGAUUGAGAAACGACCCAAACUCCUACGGGAGGCAGCAGUAGGGAAUCGUCGGCAAUGGACGAAAGUCUGACCGAGCAACGCCGCGUGAGUGAAGAAGGUUUUCGGAUCGUAAAACUCUGUUGGUAGAGAAGAACGUUGGUGAGAGUGGAAAGCUCAUCAAGUGACGGUAACUACCCAGAAAGGGACGGCUAACUACGUG